UUAGUUGAUCAAAUGGUUCA
rnacentral:siRNA from 1 species